rnacentral:rRNA from 1 species
AUCUAUACUGUGAAACUGCGAAUGGCUCAUUAAAUCAGUUAUCGUUUAUUUGAUAGUACCUUACUACUUGGAUAACCGUGGUAAUUCUAGAGCUAAUACAUGCUAAAAACCCCGACUUCGGAAGGGGUGUAUUUAUUAGAUAAAAAACCAAUGCCCUUCGGGGCUCCUUGGUGAAUCAUGAUAACUUAACGAAUCGCAUGGCCUUGCGCCGGCGAUGGUUCAUUCAAAUUUCUGCCCUAUCAACUUUCGAUGGUAGGAUAGUGGCCUACCAUGGUAGCAACGGGUAACGGGGAAUUAGGGUUCUAUUCCGGAGAGGGAGCCUGAGAAACGGCUACCACAUCCAAGGAAGGCAGCAGGCGCGCAAAUUACCCAAUCCCGACACGGGGAGGUAGUGACAAUAAAUACUGAUACAGGGCUCUUUCGAGUCUUGUAAUUGGAAUGAGUACAAUUUAAAUACCUUAACGAGGAACAAUUGGAGGGCAAGUCUGGUGCCAGCAGCCGCGGUAAUUCCAGCUCCAAUAGCGUAUAUUAAAGUUGUUGCAGUUAAAAAGCUCGUAGUUGAACCUUGGGCCUGGCUGGCCGGUCCGCCUCACCGCGUGUACUGGUCCGGCCGGGCCUUUCCUUCUGGGGAUCCGCAUGCCCUUCACUGGGUGUGCCGGGGAACCAGGACUUUUACUUUGAAAAAAUUAGAGUGUUCAAAGCAGGCCUUUGCUCGAAUACAUUAGCAUGGAAUAAUAGAAUAGGACGUGCGGUCCUAUUUUGUUGGUUUCUAGGACCGCCGUAAUGAUUAAUAGGGAUAGUCGGGGGCAUCAGUAUUCAAUUGUCAGAGGUGAAAUUCUUGGAUUUAUUGAAGACUAACUACUGCGAAAGCAUUUGCCAAGGAUGUUUUCAUUAAUCAGUGAACGAAAGUUAGGGGAUCGAAGACGAUCAGAUACCGUCGUAGUCUUAACCGUAAACUAUGCCGACUAGGGAUCGGGCGAUGUUAUUAUUUUGACUCGCUCGGCACCUUACGAGAAAUCAAAGUCU